rnacentral:tRNA from 3 species
GCCGCCUGGACGAGCAGCGGCUGCGCCUGGUCGUCCCCGCCGACCACCGGCUGGCCGCCCGGCGCCGGGUCCGGCUCGCGGAGGCCGCC